rnacentral:rRNA from 1 species
CGCUGAACUUAAGCCAUAUCAAUAAGCGGAGGAAAAGAAACCAACAGGGAUUGCCCUCAGUAACGGCGAGUGAAGCGGCAAAAGCUCAAAUUUGAAACCCUCGGGAUUGUAAUUUGAAGAUUUGGCAUUGGAGAAAGCUAACCCAAGUUGCUUGGAAUAGUACGUCAUAGAGGGUGACAACCCCGUCUGGCUAACCGUUCUCCAUGUAUUGCCUUAUCAAAGAGUCGAGUUGUUUGGGAAUGCAGCUCAAAGUGGGUGGUAAACUCCAUCUAAAGCUAAAUACUGGUGAGAGACCGAUAGCGAACAAGUACUGUGAAGGAAAGGUGAAAAGAACUUUGAAAAGAGAGUGAAAUAGUAUGUGAAAUUGUUGAUAGGGAAGGAAAUGAGUGGAGAGUGGCCGAGGUUUCAGCCGCCCCUCGUGGGCGGUGUACUGCCGACGCCGAGUCAUCGAUAGCGAGACGAGGGUUACAAAUGGGAGCGCCUUUCGGGCGUUCUCCCC